rnacentral:rRNA from 1 species
AGAGUUUGAUCCUGGCUCAGAUUGAACGCUGGCGGCAGGCCUAACACAUGCAAGUCGAACGGUAACACAGAGGAGCUUGCUCCUCGGGUGACGAGUGGCGGACGGGUGAGUAAUGUCUGGGAAACUGCCCGAUGGAGGGGGAUAACUACUGGAAACGGUAGCUAAUACCGCAUAAUGUCGCAAGACCAAAGAGGGGGACCUUCGGGCCUCUUGCCAUCGGAUGUGCCCAGAUGGGAUUAGCUAGUAGGUGGGGUAAUGGCUCACCUAGGCGACGAUCCCUAGCUGGUCUGAGAGGAUGACCAGCCACACUGGAACUGAGACACGGUCCAGACUCCUACGGGAGGCAGCAGUGGGGAAUAUUGCACAAUGGGCGCAAGCCUGAUGCAGCCAUGCCGCGUGUGUGAAGAAGGCCUUCGGGUUGUAAAGCACUUUCAGCGGGGAGGAAGGCAGUACGGUUAAUAACC